rnacentral:rRNA from 1 species
UUGCCUACGGGUGGCAGCAGUCGAGAAUUUUUCACAAUGGGCGAAAGCCUGAUGGAGCGACGCCGCGUGGGGGAUGAAUGGCUUCGGCCCGUAAACCCCUGUCAUUCGCGAUCAAACCUCGCUAUUCAAAAGAUGGCGAGCUGAUAGUAGCGGAAGAGGAAGGGACGGCUAACUCUGUGCCAGCAGCCGCGGUAAUACAGAGGUCCCAAGCGUUGUUCGGAUUCACUGGGCGUAAAGGGUGCGUAGGUGGUGGGGUAAGUCGGAUGUGAAAUCUCGGGGCUCAACUCCGAAAUGGCAUUGGAAACUGCCUUGCUAGUGGGUUGGAGGGGGGACUGGAAUUCUCGGUGUAGCAGUGAAAUGCGUAGAUAUCGAGAGGAACACCGGUGGCGAAGGCGAGUCCCUGGACAACUCCUGACACUGAGGCACGAAAGCUAGGGGAGCAAACAGGAUUAGAUACCCGUGUAGUC